rnacentral:sRNA from 1 species
GUUCGAGUGACAACUGCUGCCCAUCUUGCACUGCUGGUGGCUAAAAACAUCUCCUUCUUUCCCAGCAAUGUGGAGCAAUUUUCUGAGGGCAACAUUGAUGUGUGGUGGAUUGUGCAUGAUGGGGGGAUGCUUAUGCUACUACCAUUCCUACUGAAACAGCACAAGGUGUGGCGAAAGUGCAGCAUACGGAUCUUCACAGUAGCCCAAUUAGAAGACAACAGUAUCCAAAUGAAGAAGGACCUAGCCACCUUCCUAUAUCACUUACGCAUUGAGGCGGAGGUAGAAGUGGUGGAGAUGGUGAGAAAGCUGAGUUUGAGAUACAAGAGGUUCAUUCCCCCAUUCCUCUCCCUGUCUUCCUUGAAUCUUUUCUGGUUUGGGAAAUUUUUCAGAUAUAAAUGUGGAUUAAUCCCCUAGUGCCAAAAAAAACCCUAAUUUGUUGCCCUAAGUAGAAUGUAUAUGUGAUGCAUGUUUGAUGUUAUUUUUUGGUUUUGCUUUCUUGUUUAUUACACAGCCCUUAUAUUUCUGCCAGAUUCUCAUCUGCUUAAUAUAGUUUUAUGAAAUUUUUAUUCAUAUAUUCAGCUUAAAAUCACACAUGGCUUUUAAAAAAAACCUAACUAU